rnacentral:rRNA from 1 species
GACGAACGCUGGCGGCGUGCCUAACACAUGCAAGUCGAGCGGGGUCCAUCCAGUGGCAACACUGGGGAAGACCUAGCGGCGAACGGGUGAGUAACACGUGAGAAACCUGCCCUGAACUCUGGGAUAACCCGAGGAAACUCGAGCUAAUACCGGAUGCCCCCACCGGAUCGCAUGGUCUGGUGAGGAAAGAUUUAUCGGUUCAGGAGGGUCUCGCGGCCUAUCAGCUAGUUGGCGGGGUAACGGCCCACCAAGGCAUCGACGGGUAGCUGGUCUGAGAGGACGAUCAGCCACACUGGGACUGAGACACGGCCCAGACUCCUACGGGAGGCAGCAGUGGGGAAUAUUGCGCAAUGGGCGAAAGCCUGACGCAGCAACGCCGCGUGCGGGAUGAAGGCCUUCGGGUUGUAAACCGCUUUCAGUGGGGACGAAAACAGACGGUACCCACAGAAGAAGCCCCGGCCAACUACGUGCCAGCAGCCGCCGUAAAAC